rnacentral:rRNA from 1 species
UACGGAGGGGGCUAGCGUUGUUCGGAAUUACUGGGCGUAAAGCGCGCGUAGGCGGAUCUGCAAGUCGGGGGUGAAAUCCCGAGGCUCAACCUCGGAACUGCCUUCGAUACUGCGGGUCUCGAGUCCGGGAGAGGUGAGUGGAAUUCCUAGUGUAGAGGUGAAAUUCGUAGAUAUUAGGAAGAACACCAGUGGCGAAGGCGGCUCACUGGCACGGUACUGACGCUGAGGCGAAAGCGUGGGGAGCAAACAGG